rnacentral:rRNA from 1 species
GACGAACGCUGGCGGCGUGCUUAACACAUGCAAGUCGAGCGAUGAAGCACCUUCGGGUGUGAAUUAGCGGCGAACGGGUGAGGAACACGUGAGAAAUCUGCCUUCAACUCUGGGAUAACUCCGGGAAACCGGGGCUAAUACCGGAUAUGAGCCUUGAUCGCAUGAUCGGGGCUGGAAAGUUUUUCGGUUGAAGAUGAUCUCGCGGCCUAUCAGCUUGUUGGUGAGGUAAUGGCUCACCAAGGCGACGACAGGUAGCCGGCCUGAGAGGGCGACCGGCCACACUGGGACUGACACACGGCCCAGACUCCUACGGGAGGCAGCAGUGGGGAAUAUUGGGCAAUGGAGGAAACUCUGACCCAGCGACGCCGCGUGAGGGAUGAAGGCCUUCGGGUUGUAAACCUCUUUCAGUAGGGAAGAAGCGAAAGUGACGGUACCUACAGAAGAAGCACCGGCUAACUAUGUGCCAGCAGCCGCGGUAA